rnacentral:lncRNA from 10 species
ACUGAGGCUGGAAUUCGCCGCGCACACUUUUGUCCCCGCGUUCAGAAACAGCUGCGACAGGAUGCCAGAGUCCAUCGAGAGGCUGGGAACAAGUUCGGCUUCUACUCAACUGCCCCUCGCUGGGACUGGUUUCCCCCCGGACUGAAGCAGGGUUUCCCCGGCGACAUGACCUUUCGCAGCUCUGUCACUCCAUGUGAAGAGGGCGGGGCUUCGUGAACUGUCCAAUCAGAGGCGCCACGUGGAAGGUGGGUGGGGCAAUGCGGCAUAAAAGAGGUGGGCGUCGUACGUCGUUACGCAGCGCGGUUGCUGGGCACCUCGACUAUCACCUGACCGUAGUAAUAUCUCCCGCUACGCGCGUUGUGACCAAUGCUGCAUACAGGAGAUGAGGGAGGACGGCCAGACACCUGGAAGCCGGAAAAUGGUGAAAGGCAGGAUUGGGAACCCCACAGACCGCAGCUCCUCCCAGGAGAACCCCACACAUGAGUCUGGAUCCUCGCCAUGAUCCUCCCGUGGCCCCCACACAAUCUGGGGAGACGCGGGGCCGCGGGCACUGCGCUGCCGAGAGGGCUCCGGACUGAGGCUGCAGUUGCUGCGCAGGGACGGCUCAGGAUGCCCGGGGUCCCGGCUGCUGGCCCAGCCCCACCCUGUGGCCGAGGGGACCCAGGGACGAGCUGCGCCAGGGAGACUCGGGUCCGCAGACCCCGGAAUCGCUGCUGACAGGCCCGGGUCCCACCACAGCAGGUCCCAACCAGCCCCUCCUCCCACCCGGCCUUGCACACUCACCAUUUCCCGGCUCCCAGGUGUCCCGGGUCCUCCCUUGGCUCCGGAGAUCAGUGCUGGUCACCACCGGACAGAAGCUGUGGUGGAGCCACCUCGGCCUCUGGAAGGCUGAAUUCAGUGGGUUAGGGGAACAGGAGCCCCUUAGACUUGCGGAGCUUGGCCCCACCCUCCUGGCGGAGCGCCUGAUUGGAUAAUUUACACGACCCCGCCCAGUACCCCUAGGAUAGGAAUCAAGCCCCACCCCCUAGGCCCGGGUUUCAGGAGAAGCCACGGAAAACUCGGAAGUGUGGAGCAGGAUUGACAGGUUCUAGCAACAGCCCUCCCACCCCCCCGCCCAGGCCAGGCUUCCUUCUGGAGCUUGGACGUGACCCCACACUGGGGACAUUUGCAUUUAAGAAAAACUUGGCUCCAGGCUUUCCACAGUGGGCCCUGGCAUCUUCCUAUACUCACUGGGCCCUUUCUGUUUCUUCCUUCUGGACGGGGGUUCACAAGUGUGAGCAGGCAGUUCCACACUCCGUGUCCAAUUGAGCCAGUACCUUUGCUGGAAGCUACUGGGCUGGAACAGGAGGGAGAGCCCAGAUGUCUUCCAGGGAUCAGGAAUUUGGGAUAAGCGGCUGGUGGCAUGGCCAAGGCUUCCUCAUACCUUAUCUCAGUCUACCCAUUUUCAGGGAAGAAAAUGAAAUAUGCCAACAAGGGAACAAAAAUUAAGUGCAUGGAAAAAAGUUAUACUACAGCAAUAUUCUGUAAAGAAAUCAAAAGGGGCCGGGCGCGAUGGCUCACCCUAUAAUCCCAGCACUUUGGGAGGCCAAGGUAGGAGGAUCACCUGAGGUCAGGAGUUUGAGACCGCUCUGGCCAACAUGGUGAAACCCCAUUCUCUACUAAAAAUACAAAAACUAGGCCAGGCGCGGUAGCUCACGCCUGUAAUCCUAGCACUUUGGGAGGCCAAGGCGGGCGGACCACAAGGUCAAGAGAUCAAGACUAUCCUGGCCAACAUGGUGAAACCCUGUCUCUACUAAAAAUACCAAAAAAAUCAGCUGGGCGUGGUGGCACGUGCCUGUAGUCAGAGCAGCUCGGGAGGUUGAGGCAGUAGAAUUGCCUGAACCCGGGAGACAGAGGUUGCAGUGAGCCAAGAUCACACCACUGCACUCCAGCCUGGCAAC